rnacentral:snRNA from 1 species
AUAGCUUCUUGGCCUUUUGGCUAAGAUCAAGUGUAGUGUCUGUUCUUAUCAGUUCAAUUUCUUUAAUACAUACAGUAAAAUUCAAAUUAUCUAUUCUUUUUCAUUUUAGAGAGAGAACAUGU